rnacentral:rRNA from 1 species
UGUCUUUUAGAUUUUAUUAAAAGUCUGACCUGCCCAAUGAAUUUUUUAAUGGCCGCGGUAUUUUGACCGUGCAAAGGUAGCAUAAUCAUUUGUCUCUUAAUUAGAGGCUGGAAUGAAUGGUUGGACGAGAAAUCAGCUUUCUUUAAUAUAUUCUUAAAACUUAAUUUUUAAGUCAAAAAGCUUAAAUUUUAUUAAGGGACGAGAAGACCCUAUAGAACUUUAUUAAUUUAUUGGACCACAUAAUUUUUUUAUUUACUUUUGUGGUCCACAUCUUUUAAUUGUGUUGGGGUGACAUAGAAAUUUAAUUAACUUUCUUUUUUUAUAUUCAUUGAUUAGUGUAUUUUUAGAUCCAGGUUUAUCUUGAUUAUAAGUUUAAGUU